UACGUAGGUGGCUAGCGUUGUCCGGAUUUACUGGGCGUAAAGAGCGCGCAGGCGGUCGUUCAAGUCGAGUGUGAAAGCCCCCGGCUCAACUGGGGAGGGUCACUCGAUACUGAUCGACUCGAAGGCAGGAGAGGGAAGUGGAAUUCCCGGUGUAGUGGUGAAAUGCGUAGAUAUCGGGAGGAACACCAGUGGCGAAGGCGACUGUCUGGCCUGUUCUUGACGCUGAGGCGCGAAAGCGUGGGGAGCGAACCGG
rnacentral:rRNA from 1 species